rnacentral:rRNA from 1 species
GACGAACGCUGGCGGCGUGCCUAACACAUGCAAGUCGAACGGGGUAAUCCUUCGGGGUUACUUAGUGGCGAACGGGUGAGUAACGCGUGAGAAACCUGCCUUUCAGUGGGGGACAACAGUUGGAAACGACUGCUAAUACCGCAUAAUGUUAUUUGAGGGCAUCCUCGAAUAACCAAAGCUUUAUGUGCUGAAAGAUGGUCUCGCGUCUGAUUAGAUAGUUGGUGAGGUAACGGCUCACCAAGGCGACGACCAGUAGCCGGUAUGAGAGGAUGAACGGCCACAUUGGGACUGAGAUACGGCCCAGACUCCUACGGGAGGCAGCAGUGGGGAAUAUUGGGCAAUGGGGGAAACCCUGACCCAGCAACGCCGCGUGAAGGAAGAAGGCCUUCGGGUUGUAAACUUCUUUUACCAGGGACGAAGAACGUGACGGUACCUGGAGAAAAAGCAACGGCUAACUACGUGCCAGCAGCCGCCGCGGUAA